AUACGGAGGGUGCGAGCGUUAAUCGGAAUUACUGGGCGUAAAGGGUGCGUAGGCGGCUUGAUAAGUCGGAUGUGAAAGCCCCGGGCUUAACCUGGGAAUUGCAUUCGAUACUGUCAGGCUAGAGUAUGUCAGUGGUUGGCGGAAUUCCUGGUGUAGCGGUGAAAUGCGUAGAUAUCAGGAGGAACACCAGUGGCGAAGGCGGCUAACUGGGGCAAUACUGACGCUGAGGCACGAAAGCGUGGGGAGCAAACAGGAUUAGAAACCCUAGUAGUCC
rnacentral:rRNA from 1 species